UCUCACAACAGUGGCCAACAGUGGCCAAUGAGCCUCGGCUGUUCAUAGACGUGUUUACGUUUUCUUUCUUCCCUUUGCAAGAAAAAUCUCCACCCUAAAGUGUAUUGUGUGUGUGUUUGUGAGUGUUGAUGGGAAAAACUCUCUAGAGUUUUCACAUUUGCUUAUUUAUUUCUUUGUUUUUUUUUUAAUUGUUCAAUACUUAACGCCAAGUAUCAUCUCAAUAAAGACUUGCAAACCAAAAAUAACGCAACUAUUGUCAGUAGGCUGCAUUGUAAUAAAAGCUACAAACUAAGUAUACAUUUGUUGUAAGAGUGGAAAGUGACAGUGUUAAAAAGAAAAGUGGAAAACGUACAGUAUAACGGUGGACUAUUUAGAUUUUCGUGUUCCUUAUCAAUCUCUGAGUGCAGCCACUACGGGCUUGAUUUCAAGUAAAAAAUAUAAAAGAGACGAGGACAGUGGCCUCGCGUCCUCCAUCGUCAUCCCCCGCUCCCUCUCCCAUCUUUGAUCGCUUCCUCUUUAUUCCUUGUCUCUCCUCGUUGUCGUCAAAUCAACUUCAUAAAUAUUACCUUCAUUUUCAAAUCUUCCUUACUACGAUUGAGUUCAUUAGCCAACUGAUGCACCGACUGAUCAAGAUAACGACAAAAAAGUGAGAAUACAAAUAUGAGUGAGAAUUACAGUUGGAAUAGUUGACCUAACCUAGAGUGUAAAAGAAAAACUCCUAGAUAAAUUUGGAAUAUUUCUCUUAUCAUCAACAUAUCUUUGGCUAUGUCCUUCAUGACGGCUGAUUUACUUGGGAAAAAGUGCUUCAAAAAUAUGACAAUUUGAAAAUCAUCAUUGAAUCAAUUUGUUACUCUGGCUCAAAGGGAAGAAGAACAAAGAAAGUGGCGAUUUUUCGUCGAUCAAGGAGAAAACUACGACACUAAGGAGUCGUAAAACUUGAAAGGGAAGUGUCUAGCAGCCUAGGAAUCUCCUAGGAGGACUUGAUGGCAGUGGUGGGGCCAAGCCGGCACUCGCGGGUGUCCAUGAGCGUGUCGAUGUCACUGAUGCAGGGGGGUGGAGCCGGUACGACCACCGGCGGAGGUUCAACAGCGGGGACUCAUCCGGGUCAGGCUGUUCUCGCUGCUCAAGCACCCUCCAACUAUUAUCAUCCUGCAGCCCCUGCACCAUCCCAACCUCCCCCUACUCAGGAUCCUGUCCAACCCGAUAGGCCUAUUGGUUAUGGAGCUUUUGGUGUUGUUUGGGCAGUAACUGAUCCAAGAGAUGGUAGACGAGUGGCUUUAAAAAAAUUACCAAAUGUCUUUCAAAAUCUUAUUAGCAGCAAAAGGGUCUUCAGAGAACUUAAAAUGCUAUGUUUUUUCAAACAUGAAAAUGUAUUGUCAGCACUGGAUAUUUUACAACCACCACAUCUAGAUUUCUUCCAGGAGAUAUAUGUGAUAACAGAACUACUCCAAAGUGAUCUUCAUAAGAUUAUCGUCAGCCCGCAACAUUUGAGCUCAGAUCACAUCAAAGUAUUCCUCUAUCAGAUUUUAAGAGGACUUAAGUACUUACAUUCAGCAAGAAUCUUACACAGAGACAUUAAGCCGGGUAAUCUACUGGUAAACAGUAACUGUGUGCUAAAAAUAUGCGACUUUGGUUUGGCAAGAGUUGAGGAACCCGACCAAAGCAAACACAUGACCCAGGAGGUGGUGACGCAGUAUUACCGAGCUCCAGAAAUUCUCAUGGGUGCUCGUCAUUACACAGCUGCAGUUGAUGUCUGGAGUGUUGGGUGCAUUUUUGGAGAACUUCUGCGUCGUAGAAUUCUUUUCCAAGCUCAAAGUCCCGUUCAACAACUUGAAUUAAUUACUGAAUUACUGGGAACGCCAACCUUAGAAGAUAUGCGAUAUGCGUGUGAGGGUGCAAGGACUCACAUGCUAAGUCGUGCUCCAAAACCCUCAUCUUUGACAGCUCUAUACACUUUAAGUAAUCAAGCAACUCACGAAGCUGUUCAUUUACUAUGUCAGAUGCUUGUUUUCGAUCCUGACAAGAGAAUUACUGUUGUUGAUGCCCUGGCUCAUCCUUAUCUUGACGAAGGAAGAUUGAGAUAUCAUUCGUGCAUGUGCACGUGCUGUUAUACCACAAGUGGAGGGAUGAGACAAUAUACUUCAGAAUUUGAACCAGUAACGUCUCAUCCUUUGGACGAUUUAUGGGAACGAAAACUGACAAGUGUUCAGCAGGUGAAAGAAGAAAUGCAUAAAUUUAUAGCAGAGCAAUUAAAUACAUCUCGCGUGCCUUUGUGCAUUAAUCCUCAAUCUGCGGCGUUUAAAAGCUUUGCAAGUUAGAGCAAGACAACCGCCAAGCCAGCAACUACGUGCGCCGCGUAUACGUACACAAUAACUACCACCCGAAUGAGCUAUCUACCGCUGUCGGCUACCGCUAUCGUCUACUACCACUUACGUCUCUUCCUGAACGUAACGAAUAAUUCGAGAAAAUCAGCUAUAAUUGGUACAACCUCGCUCGCAGAGAAUCAUUUAAAGUGAUCUUAUUGCUAACAAUGAUGAAUAAAAUUUGGGCAGUUUAAAAUAUGGAAUAAAAGUUCUACUGUGGCUCAUCCAUCGGAGUUACCACCAUCACCACAUCAAUGGGAGUGAAGUAAUGUCAUUUACAAUAAAGUCUCAUAAAUUAUUAUAAAUUAUUUAUUGAUAAAUCAACGAGAAACAACACAAAAUGUGUAAAUGACUUGAAGAACAUCUAAGAGUAUAAACAAGAAGACAAAAGCUGCAAUAAAUUUUCUGAAUACCUUCAUUGUUGAUAAAUGAAGAGAGCUAAGAGAGACAAUAGACUGCCGAGUACUUGUAGCUUGAUUUGACGAAACAAUUAGUUCAUAUACAAUACAAAAUUGAUAAAUUUGUAAAAUAGAAAAAUAAAGAUAUUCAAGACACAAGUAUACAAGACUGUAAGAGGAAGGUAGCUAAAUUUUUAACCGGCAAUCGGUUAAAUAGUAGAUAAUUUUCAGCACUUGUCGCUGUUAUUGCAGACGAGGAAGGCCAGUUUCUAACGAUUAAUCUUUUUUUUUGUCAUUAUUUUCAUUCAUUCCUCGUUUAUUAGCAAUUGCGACUAAUAAUAAUUAUUAAUAUUUUUUUUUUAUUAUUAUCGUAAUUAUUAAUCUUAUCAUUAUAAUUAUUAAUAAUCAAUAUUAAUUAAUAAUCAAUGCGUGCGCGCGUUAUGAUUACGGCUGGCAAUAAAAUACGAAAUCAUAAAAAAGGGAGGAGAAACAACAUUUUUUUAAAGAACAUUUAUAAAUAUUCAUUUAUUUGUUUAAAUAAUUUACGUAGUUGUGUCAAAAUGAUUUUCUUUUGUUAAGUAGACAUUUAAAAUGGAUUUCACUUAUUGAAAUUAAACGUAUUUAUUAUCGAAUAUGCUUCCAAAAUCUUAAAAAUCUAGGAACGUGCAAUUCCUAAAGCAAUUGAAACAUAAUAAUUUAAAGUAAAGAAAAUGCAAAAUGUUUGGGUACGGAAUCUUGUAAGUAUAUGAAAAGAUCUUAAUGUAUUGUAAAUAUUGAGUAUCAGAAUAAUAUUCUCUCCAUAUUGUGAGCGGAAACAAGAUACUCUGCAUUAUUAAUUCUGAGUGUGAUUUUAGUAAUAAGUAAAACUCAAUUGAUUGACACUAAGUAUCAUGAGAUUCUUGGGCCUAAAUUUUCAUGUAGAUAAUGAUUGCACUGAUUAACUAAUUUUUUAAUCAACAAAAAUGUGAAGAAAAAAAAGCAAAGAAAUAAUUCUGUAUAGAGAAUUUUUUACACAUACCUAAAGACAAAAAAAGGGAGAAAAACCACAUAGAGAUACUUGAAUUCUUAGUUUUUAGUAUAUUCUCUAUGUUUUUUCAUACUACUACAACAAAGGUCCGAAUAAAUUAGUGAUUUCAAUGAAUGGGAAGAAAGAAAUUUUUAAUGUUUUAGUAUUUGAUGAUGCUCUCUUCAGAGGGUUAACUUACGGCUAACGAUCAACUGAAAAACUCUUUUGGUGUUUGCCAACGAGAAAAAAAUCAAGCUGUUUGGCUGUCUCUGAGAUUGAUAAUAAAUAAAAAAUAAUAAGAUAUUAAUAAAAAGCUUAUUAUUUAUUAUUUGAAAAAUAAAGUAAAGAGACAUGUAGUGAUAAGCUGACAGAUUUUUGUAAUAAAAUUUUUUUUCUCGUUUGAAAAUAUGUUUAAUAAAUAAAAUGGCAAACAUUUAGGUAUUUCAAUGCGUUAUUUAAUAUAAGGUAGAUAAAUAGAAAGUAAUGUUGAGGAUUGAUUGAAUAAUUCCUGAAAUACAUGUAACAAAUAAAAAAUAAAUAUCGUAUGUACGAUUGUAAAUAUUUCUUAUACAGCCAGUAUAAAAAAUGACAAGGAGGAAAAGCAUUAUUGAUUAGGCGUCUGUAAUAUGACGUAUCGUCCUGCCAAUUAGCCAGCGAAUGCUGCCGUUUGAUUAUAAAAUAUACAAUGAUAAAUUGUCACAUUCGUGAGACGAUACUCAAGAUAAGUGACAUUGCUUCAUAGAUAUGACUGUGAAAAUUUUUACUAAGAGUAAAUGAUACAUUGAAAAAAUAAUAUGAAUGAAAAUUUCGAAAUGAAAAAAAAAUAUUGUAUUUGUAUAUACUAAUUCAAGAUAGCUCACUGUAGCUAAUUAGUUGGGCAUUUGAUUGACGUGUAAUGUUGUCCAAUAAUUAAUCGAUCACAGUUAAUUAAUUAACGAAUCAAUUAAUUCAUUGUAUAUUACGAAAUUGAAAUCGAAUUUUAGCAUUUUACAUUAGAUCUCAUUUCUUAAAUAAUUAAAAUGAAAUUAUAAGAAUAAUUACGUAUUUUGUCGUGAUCGAAUUUUGCAAAAUUAAUAACAUCAGUAUAGAAAAUAGAGAGAAAUAUGAAUACGUAAAAUUGAAAAAAAUGAUUGAUGUACAUUAAUAAGGUACAUCUAUUUUAGAUUAAUAAACAAAAAAUGAAAGGAUAAAAAAAUAAAUAUAAAUAAAUCGUGUAGUUGAAAAAGUAGCCUUGUUCAUAAAAAAAGAAAAAAAAUACCAGACGCACCAAACAAUAAAUAUUCUGAUAAAAUGGAAUGUUUCAAUGAAAUAUUUUGUUAUGUGAGUUAAAUUAUCAUUAUUAUUAUUAUUAUAUUCAUUUAAAUAUUCCCAUCAUCCUGAAAAUUCCUAAAAAUUUUUGUCACAUUGAUAUCUAUUCGCAAAAAUAUGCAUUUAGUUAAUUAAUGAAAACAUUUAUGAUCAAAAUAAUAAAAAUUAUUGUUCAUCGUCGAGUGGCAACGUAUUUAUAAUUAAAAUAAAAAAGAAAAUAAUGUCGCUUUCUUGAUAUUUAAAAUUUAGCAGUGAUUUAGCUUUAAUAUAAUAGAAUGAUGACCUGUAAUUAGUAACUAAGAGGCCUUAAUAUUAUGAUGUCUAACCGUUAUUGAAAAUAAUACAAAAGAAAAAAUAUAAAAAAAGGAAACAUUUCAGAGAUUGUCAAUGAUUUAAAGAAGUAUCUAGUGUAGAAGAGAAAGAAAUAAAAGUUUUAAUGAUUAAAAAAAAAGUAAAAAGAAGAAGAUGCAAAACAAUAA